rnacentral:rRNA from 1 species
GACGAACGCUGGCGGCGUGCUUAACACAUGCAAGUCGAACGGAAAGGCCUCUUUCGGGGGGUACUCGAGUGGCGAACGGGUGAGUAACACGUGAGUAACCUGCCCUUGACUUUGGGAUAACUUCAGGAAACUGGGGCUAAUACCGGAUAGGAGCUCCUGCUGCAUGGUGGGGGUUGGAAAGUUUCGGCGGUUGGGGAUGGACUCGCGGCUUAUCAGCUUGUUGGUGGGGUAGUGGCUUACCAAGGCUUUGACGGGUAGCCGGCCUGAGAGGGUGACCGGCCACAUUGGGACUGAGAUACGGCCCAGACUCCUACGGGAGGCAGCAGGGGGGAAUAUUGCACAAUGGGUGGAAGCCUGAUGCAGCAACGCCGGGGGCGGGAGGACGGCCUUCGGGUUGGAAACCGCUUUCGCUCAUGACGAAGCUUUGUGUGACGGUAGUGGGUAAAGAAGCACCGGCUAACUACGUG